UCUUAGGGGUUAUCAUGAAAGGGGUCAUUCUCAUUUUCAACCAUUGAGUCUCCAAUCUGUCUUCUAAGAAAAAAAACACAUUUAUAGUCAUCAGACUAUAAACAAAGUUUUUAGAACAUUUCUCCAACUCCACCAAGUGCUCUUAUGCAGAAAAUACCAUAAUCAAGUCUUCCAUGUUACUCCACUAUAUUACAGGUCCAACUGCUUUUGGGUGAUGAACACUGUAAGCCAAUUCUCUUCCCAUGCAAAGUGAACAACCAGAUGCCUUGCUCAAAAAUCUGCCCCUGAAAGGAUGUUCCUACACAAUAAACCUUCAGUUUACCAGCUUUCAACUCGGAACUAUAUCAUCAGCUCUUCUGGAUCUCAAGUUUGCCAACUACAGACUCCUCAGUCUUCAUAA